GAAAAAAAUGCUGAGAUAAGAAUCAUGUAUCUUUGUGCACUUGUCUAAUUACUUCCCUAAGAUAAAUUUCUAGAAGUGAAAUUGCUGAUGCAACAACUGCGUAUUUGUGUUCAGUUUUUCAUGCUACUUCCUGGGUGUCCUUGAAGAGUUCCAGUUAUUAAUCCAUUUCCUUAUGCCUUCAUCGAUAUUCGUACUGAGCAGUCUUUUGAUUCUUAGCCAAACUGUUUCAGUUACCAUGUCAACUGCGGCUGGGAAGCAGGUGGACGUCCUCUGACGACAACUCAGAUGGUCAACAGCAGCCUCACUCUAUGUCACAACACCUGCGUCACUCACCUCCCCCGGUCUCCUCUCCUGGGCAUGUUCUCUCACAUCACCUAAGAAGGGUGAGUACAGCACAAUGAGAUAUUUUGAGAGAGAGACCACAUUCACAUAACUUUUAUUACAAGCAUAUUGUGAUAAUUGUUCUAUUUUGUUAUUAGCUAUUGUUGUUCGUCUCUUACGAAUUUAUAAAUUCAACUUUAUCAUAGGUAUGUUUGUGUAGGAAAAAACGGUAUUUGUAGGUUUGGCACCAUCCCUGGUUCAGGCAUCCACUGGGGGUCUUGGAAUGUAUCUCCUGCUGAUAAGCGGUGGGGGGGUGGGGACCACUAUACCCA
rnacentral:lncRNA from 1 species